UCCAGGCACUCCGCAUUGCGUCAUGCUUAAGAACAGCCCUUAGCCGUGGUAUAUUGCCAUAUACCACACCUCCUCGGGCCUUAUUGCUGAAAUAUACAUGCUCACCUUUGCCAAUUUGUCACGGGAAUUUUCAAUCCCAAUGAUGACUAUAGCUUUGACCCAUUCCCCCUAGGUUGUAAUGCUAGGGUUGAUAAGAAUUAGACAAAUACUCAGCUUAAUGCAAAAGGAAAGUAUUGUUGAUUCAUGAGAAUUCUCAAGACCAAAAUGAAGACUCAGUCUUUUUAUAAUACACACACAUUCCUAUCUUUAGGUCACUCCCUUCUCAAAUGACCAUUACUAUCCGACUAACCACAUUGUAGACAAAGAACCAUCAAUCUUGUCUCACUCUUCAAGGCUUUCAAUUCCCCUCCCCCGUUGGGGCCCUCUUGGUUAGAAAACCUCUAAGGGUUUUCUAUUAUCUGUUUUACAACUUCUCCCUGCUUACACCCUUACGAAAGACUAUAAUACCCUAGUAUUAUAAUUCUAACAUAGCUACACACAUCUUCAUAUUAUCUUCUUAUGAUUCUCAAACAUUUCACACCAUUAUACAAUAUCAGAAUGGAACUCUUUAGCCAUUAUCUCAAAUCAUACAAAUUAUUCUAACACAAUUGGAAACUGUUGCCCACUUGUCUGUCCCAUUUCCUUAAUAUGUUCUAUUUCGCAGUGGCAAUCAACACCCAUACCCCCACACUACAACCCUCCAACCCUCCUCCUGUUGCUGCCCAAUAACUGUCUGAUACAGUUGCCCCCCAGGAGACCAGCUACACCCCCAUCCUCAACCAGGUUAAACCCCCGAUAUCCCCCACCACCCAGGAGACCAGCUACACCCCCAUCCUCAACCAGGUUGAACCCCCGAUAUCCCCCACCACCCAGGAGACCAGCUAUACCCCCAUCCUCAACCAGGUUGAACCCCCGAUAUCCCCCACCACCCAGGAGACCAGCUAUACCCCCAUCCUCAACCAGGUUGAACCCCCGAUAUCCCCCACCACCCAGGAGACCAGCUUCACCCGGAUCUCCAACCAGGUUAAACCCCCAAUAACCCCCACCACCCAGGAGACCAGCUACACCCACACCAAACUAAAGAAGAUGGGGAGAAAGUCCUGUCACCCUCAAAAAACCCUCCAACUCACUGAGCAUGACAGUCAACCCCAUCCUACCCCAUCCAACCCCAUCCUACCCCAUCCAACCCCAUCCUACCCCAUCCAACCCCAAUUCUACCUCAUCCAACCCCAUCCUACCCCAUCCAAGGAAGAGGAAAUAUGACUACAUGCAAAAAGAUUGUCCAGUGCAUCCGGGGAAAAUGAUUUACCCUAUUCUCAAGAUUCUUUCCAAUAGAACUUCAAAGGAGGGUCAGGAGCAGAAGGUGAGGUGGAAGCCAUGCUCUGGAUGGUAUGUUUACUUCAACUAAUCUCCUAGAAUGUAUUGAGGAUAUACUGUACACUCAACACCAUAUGAUUGAGGAUAUACUGUACACUCAACACCAUAUGUAUCGAGGAUAUACUGAACACUCAACACCAUAUGUAUUGAGGAUAUACUGUACACUCAACACCAUAUGAAUUGAGGAUAUACUGUACACUCAACACCAUAUGUAUCGAGGAUAUACUGAACACUCAACACCAUAUGUAUUGAGGAUAUACUGUACACUCAACACCAUAUGAAUUGAGGAUAUACUGUACACUCAACACCAUAUGUAUCGAGGAUAUACUGAACACUCAACACCAUAUGUAUUGAGGAUAUACUGUACACUCAACACCAUAUGAAUUGAGGAUAUACUGUACACUCAACACCAUAUGUAUUGAGGAUAUACUGUACACUCAACACCAUAUGUAUCGAGGAUAUACUGAACACUCAACACCAUAUGUAUUGAGGAUAUACUGUACACUCAACACCAUAUGAAUUGAGGAUAUACUGUACACUCAACACCAUAUGAAUAGAGGAUAUACUGUACACUCAACACCAUAUUUAUUGAGGAUAUACUGUACACUCAACACCAUAUGAAUUGAGGAUAUACUGUACACUCAACACCAUAUGUAUUGAGGAUAUACUGUACACUCAACACCAUAUGUAUCGAGGAUAUACUGAACACUCAACACCAUAUGUAUCGAGGAUAUACUGAACACUCAACACCAUAUGUAUUGAGGAUAUACUGUACACUCAGCACCAUAUGUAUUGAGGAUAUACUGUACACUCAACACCAUAUGUAUUGAGGAUA